AAGUACAUGCGUAUAUAUGGAUAUAUGCAGAAACUGCGAACGGCUCAUUAAAACAGUUAUAAUCUACUUGACAUAUUUUUUAUAAGGAUAACUACGGAAAAGCUGUAGCUAAUACUUGCUUUAGCACUCCUGAUUAAGUUCUUGAGUGUGUACUUGUUAAGCCUUUUAAGAAAAAAGUUAUUAACUUAAGGAAUUAUAACAAAGAAGUAACACGUGGUGGAGAUUUCAUCUUAGUGUGUAUCAAUCGAGUUUCUGACCUAUCAGCUGUUGAUGUUAGGGUAUUGGCCUAACAUGGCUAUGACGGGUAACGGGGAAUUAGAGUUCGAUUCCGGAGAGGGAGCCUGAGAAAUAGCUACCACAUCUAAGGAAGGCAGCAGGCGCGUAAAUUACCCAAUUCUAAAAAAGAGAGGUAGUGACAAGAAAUAACAAUACAAGACCAAAAAUGGUUUUGUAAUUGCAAUGAUGGGAAUUUAAAUCCUACUCAAAAUACAAUUGGAGGGCAAGUCUGGUGCCAGCAGCCGCGGUAAUUCCAGCUCCAAUAGCGUAUAUUAAAAUUGUUGCAGUUAAAACGCUCGUAGUUGAAUUUCAGAGAAUCUCUAUUAUAGUAAUGCUUUUGGGUGCUAGAGCCACAUAAAGUAAGCCAUUGCGGUUUCGGCUUUAUGUGCGGAUCUCUAUUCUACCGCUUAAGUGUUGUUAUAAUUAAAUCGUUUCUCUUUAAAAUCUUCUUUAGCUAAAACAUAUGGAAGAUUUUGUUACUUUGAGUAAAAUAAAGUGUUCAUAACAAACCAAGCAGUGCGUAACGCGUCUGAAUACUACAGCAUGGAAUAACAAAAUUGAACUAGUCAAAACUAUGUUUCCUUUUUUUUUAUUUUUGGCUUAGUUACGAUUAAUAGGAGUAGUUUGGGGACAUUUGUAUUCAGAUGUCAGAGGUGAAAUUCUAAGAUUUUCUGGAGACAAACAACUGCGAAGGCAUUUGUCUAAAAUACUUCCAUUAAUCAAGAACGAAAGUUAAGGGAGUGAAGACGAUCAGAUACCGUCGUAAUCUUAACCAUAAACUAUACCGACUAGGUUUUGGAUGAAAGUAAAACAAAUAAGGAUAGUCUCUUCGGGGAUAGUCUUUAGAUUUCUUCCUUCAGUACCCUAUGAGAAAUCAAAGUCUUUGGGUUCUGGGGCGAGUAUUCGCGCAGCGAGAAAGUUAAAAGAAUUGACGGAAGGGCACCACCAGGCGUGGAGCUGCGGCUUAUUUGACUCAACACGGGAAAACUCACUAGUUUAAGACAAGAGUAGGAUUGACAGAUUAAUAGCUCUUUCUUGAUUUCUUGGAUGGUGAUGCAUGGCCGUUUUUAGUUCGUGAAUAUGAUUUGUCUGGUUAAUUCCGAUAACGAACGAGAUCUUAACCUGCUAAUUAGCGGUAAGUACGACAUAUUUUUAUGUCGAAUUGGAUUUGGAUGAUUUGCUUAUAUUGAGGUGCAUAUAAUGAAGGAUCGGGAUUGCUUUUCGCGUCAGUGAUUUUUUAUCGAAUCGUUGAUGCGUUUUGUAUAUUUCGUUCUUUUUGUUCCCUGCGCUUCUUUACUUGGCUUAUCUUACCAUUUCCUUUUUGUGUAGAAAUGUAUUUGCAUUAUGUAAAGCUUCUUAGAGGAACGAUGUGUGUCUAACACAAG
rnacentral:rRNA from 1 species